CGAACCCGUGUGGCAGUCCUGGACACCGUUUGUCCGCCUACAGGUCUAUGAAGAUGUACACAUUUGUCUGCGGAGCAGCAACUCCUACUGUGGAAGCCGACUCAUUUCAAAUGGACGGCCCAGGAAGUACGCCUCUGAAGAGCUCAAUCUGGACACACAGUGGCUUAGAAGAACCCACAAAAUGCCAGACCCGCAAACUGUAAUCCUUAAAUGAAACUCAUCGUUCAGCAGAAAAACAAGUUAAGGGCGGUAAUAAAAUGAUAGACGAAACAGGC